rnacentral:rRNA from 1 species
AUUGAACGCUGGCGGCAUGCCUUACACAUGCAAGUCGAACGGCAGCACGGGUUCUUGCCCCUGGUGGCGAGUGGCGAACGGGUGAGUAAUACAUCGGAACAUGUCCUGUAGUGGGGGAUAGCCCGGCGAAAGCCGGAUUAAUACCGCCUACGAUCUACGGAUGAAAGCGGGGGACCUUCUGGCCUCGCGCUAUAGGGUUGGCCGAUGGCUGAUUAGCUAGUUGGUGGGGUAAAGGCCUACCAAGGCGACGAUCAGUAGCUGGUCUGAGAGGACGACCAGCCACACUGGGACUGAGACACGGCCCAGACUCCUACGGGAGGCAGCAGUGGGGAAUUUUGGACAAUGGGCGAAAGCCUGAUCCAGCAAUGCCGCGUGUGUGAAGAAGGCCUUCGGGUUGUAAAGCACUUUUGUCCGGAAAGAAAUCCUUGGCCCUAAUACGGUCUGGGGAUGACGGUACCGGAAGAAUAAGCACCGGCUAACUACGUG